GGGUCAUUAGGUUGGUCGUGCCACCGGUACGUACUGGUCUCACUGAUUCCUCCUUCCUGAAGAACCGUAAUGGCAUUAAUUUGGUGUUGCGGGGAAACAGGACUGUUACUUUGAAAAAAUUAGAGUGUUUAAAGCAAGCUAACGCUUGAAUACAUUAGCAUGGAAUAAUGAAAUAGGACGAUCGAUCCUAUUUUGUUGGUUUCUAGGAUUGACGUA
rnacentral:rRNA from 1 species